CAAGAGACAAAGAUGGUCCCUUA
rnacentral:siRNA from 1 species